AGGCAUGCAGGGUUGUCGCUGACUUUUAACACAAAAGUCGUGCACGCCGGAGUGUGUCCUCUCACAUAAAAUCCAUCUCACCCUUUUGUGCACCACCGCGUGGGCACCCUUCAGGAUCGAGCCGAUCCGGGAGGGGGCUUGCGUUUUCACACAAACCCCCCCUUUUAAAAGUGUAGAAUGACCCCAUUUUUGCGAUAACACGCAAUCAAUACAACUUUCAACAACGGAUCUCUUGGCUCUCGCAUCGAUGAAGAACGCAGCGAAAUGCGAUACGUAAUGUGAAUUGCAGAAUUCAGUGAAUCAUCGAAUCUUUGAACGCACCUUGCGCCCCUUGGUAUUCCGAGGGGCACACCCGUUUGAGUGUCGUGAAAAUCUCAACCUUCUCGGUUUCUUCUGGACACCGAAGGAGGCUUGGACUUUGGAGGCCUUUGCUGGUGUCUCUCUCUUCUGAAACCCAGCUCCUCUUAAAUGAAUUAGCGGGGUCCUCUUUGCCGAUCCUCGACGUGUGAUAAGAUGUUUCCAUGUCUUGGUUUCCGGCUCUGUUGCUCCUGGGACCCGCUUCUAACCGUCUCAACCUUGCAUCGAGACAAUGUUUGAGCGUGUCUCCCUUCUCGGGAAACGCUCUCAACCCCACGAACCCUUGACCUCAAAUCGGGUGAGACUACCCGCUGAACUUAAGCAUAUCAAUAAGCGGAGGAAAAGAAACUAACAAGGAUUCCCCUAGUAACUGCGAGUGAAGCGGGAAAAGCUCAAAUUUAAAUCUGGCGGUCUUAGGCCGUCCGAGUUGUAAUUUAGAGAAGCGUUUCCGCGCC
rnacentral:rRNA from 1 species